UAAAGAGGCAUGAAAUGCCAGGCCCUGGCUGGAAAAUCUUCAAAAUAAGAACACUCUUUGAAAAAGUAGAUGACUUCAGUAAGGCAAGGCAAAAGCUGAAGGACUACAACAGAAAUGGAACGGCAGUCCUCCAGUCAGAGGAUGAGAGCUCAAUGGCAAAAAGGAGAAGAAAAGCGACACAUUACCCAGGAUUUGAAAACGGCAGUACUGACUCUGAAACUGAGAAGACUCCAAAAAGAAGACCAGAUUC